rnacentral:rRNA from 1 species
AUGAACGCUGGCGGCGUGCCUAAUACAUGCAAGUCGAGCGAACAGACGAGGAGCUUGCCCCUCUGACGUUAGCGGCGGACGGGUGAGUAACACGUGGAUAACCUACCUAUAAGACUGGGAUAACUUCGGGAAACCGGAGCUAAUACCGGAUAAUAUAUUGAACCGCAUGGUUCAAUAGUGAAAGACGGUUUUGCUGUCACUUAUAGAUGGAUCCGCGCCGCAUUAGCUAGUUGGUAAGGUAACGGCUUACCAAGGCAACGAUGCGUAGCCGACCUGAGAGGGUGAUCGGCCACACUGGAACUGAGACACGGUCCAGACUCCUACGGGAGGCAGCAGUAGGGAAUCUUCCGCAAUGGGCGAAAGCCUGACGGAGCAACGCCGCGUGAGUGAUGAAGGUCUUCGGAUCGUAAAACUCUGUUAUUAGGGAAGAACAAAUGUGUAAGUAACUAUGCACGUCUUGACGGUACCUAAUCAGAAAGCCACGGCUAACUACGUG